GGGGUUGUAGCUCAGUGGUAGAGUACUCACCUUGCAUGUGAAAUGCACUGGGUUCAAUCCUCAGCACCA
rnacentral:tRNA from 1 species